rnacentral:rRNA from 1 species
UACGUAGGGGGCUAGCGUUAUCCGGAAUUACUGGGCGUAAAGGGUGCGUAGGUGGUUUCUUAAGUCAGAGGUGAAAGGCUACGGCUCAACCGUAGUAAGCCUUUGAAACUGGGGAACUUGAGUGCAGGAGAGGAGAGUGGAAUUCCUAGUGUAGCGGUGAAAUGCGUAGAUAUUAGGAGGAACACCAGUGGCGAAGGCGGCUUACUGGACUGUAACUGACGUUGAGGCUCGAAAGCGUGGGGAGCAAACAGG